AUUGAACGCUGGCGGCAGGCCUAACACAUGCAAGUCGAGCGAGCGGCGGACGGGUGAGUAAUGUCUGGGAAACUGCCUGCUGGAGGUGGAUAACUACUGGAAACGGUAGCUAAUACCGCAUCCCAUCAGAUGUGCCCAGAUGGGUUUUGCUAGUAGGUGGGGUAACGGCUCACCUAGGCGACGAUCCCUAGCUGGUCUGAGAGGAUGACGGACCAGACUGGAACUGAGACACGGUCCAGACCCCUACGGGAGGAAGCAGUGGGGAAUAUGGCACAAUAGGAGCAAGACUGAUGCAAGCAUGACGCGUGUGUGAAGAAAGACUUCGGGUUGUAAAGCACUUUCAGCGGGGAGGCGGUACCCGCAGAAGAAGCACCGGCUAACUCCGUGCCAGCAGCCGCGGUAAUAC
rnacentral:rRNA from 1 species